GGUAGCAUAAUGGUUAAGUGCUCAGCUGAUAACUGAAAGGUUGGUGGUUUGAACCCACCACCU
rnacentral:tRNA from 1 species